GUGAGAGAUUUCUUUUGCAGUUGCUCUCUGCACCUGUAUACUCCUGUGUGUAAUGUGAAGCACUAAAUAUGUCAACAAGGAAGACUGAGCAAGCAUAUGGUAAUAAGCCGUAUCAUAAAUCAUGUAUUGGUCGUGCCAAAUGACAUGUAUCCUGCCUUCCACUCAUAGACUGUAUAAAAAUGUACAUGCCUUCCUGCCUUCCACGAUGCUUCCUGCCUACGCCACGGCUGAGCUACAUCUUUCCAGCAGGUGGCGCGGGACUUCACUUUCUGGUGCCUACUAUCGCCUUCUUCGGAGGGGGAGUGCGCAGCAUGAGUCGGGAGCCCUGGCCUUAGCGCUUUCGCUGCUCUUGGACGGAAGGUGUCAAGUUCUAGCCAGAUAACGCCAGUGGAAUGAUAUGCCGGUCCAGCGCCAAGUCUCACGGCAGCUCCAUCUCCAGUCUGCUGUCUUUCUCUGGGCUUUCGUAAACUGAACCAAAAAGAAGAAGUUUAAGGGCCAAUUCAUGGUGCAAGGGCCGGUUUUGCAUUUUCCAGCUGCUAGACCCUAGAACCCUUGUAAACCGUGUAAAACCAACACCCCCUCCUCCCAGAACAUGAACAUUUUAACAGAUUUUUAGAUAUGCCUUACACUUUUUGGGGGUCAAAAAGCCCAGCCACGUUUUCACUUCUUUUCCCUCAUCUGAUCUGUGAAAUGCUUUCAAAACCUGUCCAGGCCAUCAGAUCUACGCCCGUUUCGCGCUAAUUGGUCCCAGCGCUUCCUGCCGGAUGUUGCAGAAGCUCCAUUGGCAUUCACGUCACAGCUCCCUGUUCCUGCCAGCGCUGGCGGACGUCUGCUCCAGACGUGGCUCUCUUUAGAGGGCGGCAGGGGGCGGAAGCUUUGAAGAAACCUGCUGAUUGGAGGGAGCAGAACUGAAGCAGUGCAGGAAGAGAAGCAUCCUGGCUGGAAGAUGGAAGAGCAGGCAGGGGGAGCAGAAGUACACUGGCCAGGAAAGCAUCGAUUUUAAAUCUCAGGGCUUUGCAGUUUUGUGGAAUGCACAGUGUGGAGCAUGUCCUGAAGAGAGGUGUCGGGAUUCACCACAGAGAGCUCCUCCCUGGUGAAACCAUAGUGAUCCUGUUCUCCAAAGGCACGCUCAAGGCCAGCAAGAGCUUUCAUCUUCUUCCCCUGCCACCCUGACAGGAAAUCUUUCAAUGCCUCCUCAAAGCCUCUGAAGCAUCAUUCACUGCACAAAGUGUCUGGCGGAGCUGCUAAGAGAGAUGGGUCCGGCAGCUAAGGGUGUCUGCAGAGAGGAGAGAAGGAUCCAGCACAAGCUGUGUCCAUCUGAGCGUCUGUGAAUGGCGAGUGGUACAGAGGUAGGAACAGCUAGUUAUCUGGAAUUAUUUUCUUUUUGUUUCUCAAUUAAAUAUUUGGGAUCUCAAAUCCCAGCUGAAUUUGGAAUGUGCAAUUCGCAAACUACUGUAUGUACAAGCAUGAUCAUAUGCACCCCUGCUGACAGCUUGGAAAAGUGAAGACAACUCGCAGUUCUCCUUAAAAACACACGGUGUCAGCCAGCUGCUUCUUUUCAUACCGCAGCCACAAGCUGCGCACGAGCAGAGGAGACCCAAUUAUACGUGUGCGUGGGAAGCAAGCCAUAGGCGCCCGGAUGGCUAACAGGGGUCACUUGAACAAUGAACAACGCUAUCCCCACUAUCAGAGUCCCUCCCAUAUAUCCCUUGGGCAAUGUAAAGCCAAUUGUGUGGCACCCCUGUCGGGCUGCCGGCCACAGCUGGCACUGGUUAGAUUUUAUUCAAGACUAUGGUGCUCACGCACGUACCAAAAGGGGUCCUUUUACUGUGUGAGCUACCCAACAGCCCAAAAUUAUUUUUUUUCUUCCACAGCUAAGCCCCACCUACCUCAGGGGGUUGUAUGAGAGUGCAGACGGUUGUUUGCUUUCCUCCCUUGUAGCACUUUGUGUUGCAUACUACCAGAUAGCCCCCACUGGAAACAAUUAUUUAUUGUGCAUUUCUUGUUAUUGUGUAUCUUUCCCCCAUAUCUGAAAAUCUGCCCAUAUGAUCUUUUAAUAGCGCCACAAACCAUAGUUAUGUAUUUAAUUACAACAGUGUUACAAAGUAAAUCCAAGGAUUUAUUCAAAUUUCAGGACAACAAACCCUUUUUGGGUCUGUCCAUUCUGUCAAGGUGGCACCUACAAUUGCUUUACAAUAGGAACAAGUGUGACGUUUUACAGUUGGUGUCACAU